AAAUUGAAGAGUUUGAUCAUGGCUCAGAUUGAACGCUGGCGGCAGGCCUAACACAUGCAAGUCGAGCGGUAGCACAGAGGGCUUGCUCUCGGGUGACGAGCGGCGGACGGGUGAGUAAUGUCUGGGAAACUGCCUGAUGGAGGGGGAUAACUACUGGAAACGGUAGCUAAUACCGCAUAAUGUCGCAAGACCAAAGUGGGGGACCUU
rnacentral:rRNA from 1 species